rnacentral:rRNA from 1 species
UGGUGGAGUGAUUUGUCUGGUUGAUUCCGUUAACGAACGAGACCUCUACCUGCUAGCUGUGCCGGCGUUUGUAUUCAAGCGACGACCUCCUAGAGGGACUUUUAGUGAUUAACUAAAGGAAGCUGGAGGCAAUAACA